UACUAGAGUAGCACUCGCAUAUCAAUAAGCGGAGGAAAAGAAACUAACAAGGAUUCCCCUAGUAACGGCGAGUGAAGCGGGAAGAGCUCAAAUUUGAAAUCUUAAAGGGUUUCCCUUUACGAAUUGUAGUUUAAAGAAGUGUUUUCUGUUGAGGUUUUGGUAAAAGUUCUUUGGAAUAGGACAUCAUAGAGGGUGAGAAUCCCGUAUUUGACCUUUACUUUCAACUUUGUGAUACACUUUCAAAGAGUCGGAUUGUUUGGGAAUGCAGUCCAAAAUGGGUGGUAAAUCUCAUCUAAAGCUAAAUAUUGGCGAGAGACCGAUAGCGAACAAGUACCGUGAGGGAAAGAUGAAAAGAACUUUGAAAAGAGAGUUAAACAGUACGUGAAAUUGUCAAAAGGGAAGCGCUUGACACCAGUGUUGUUUUUCUGAAAAUCAAUUAAAGAACUGUUUAUGCUAAGUUGUUUAGACUUUAUCAGCUAACUGUUUAGUUUUGAGCUUUUCUUUAAUGCACUUUUCAGUUAACAAGUCAACAUCAAUUUCUUUUGCUGUAAAAAAGCUUGAGGAAGGUGGCUUGAGAUUCGUCUUAAGUGUUUAUAGCCUCUUGCCUAUGCAGUCGGAGAGAUUGAGGUCUGCAGCGUAGAUCCUUCGGGGCUAAAUGCAUUUGUGCUAAGUUAUAGCAUUUUAUAGACAACUUGUUGACUAUGAUUAGUCUUGUAGCUUACUCGCUUAUGUUAUUUUACCUACGCUUAGGAUGUUGAGCGCAUGUCUCUCUC
rnacentral:rRNA from 1 species